UCCUUCGUGGUGUAAUGGUUAGCACGCUCGGCACGUAUUCGAGAGGUCCGAGGUUCGAGUCCCAACGAAGGCA
rnacentral:tRNA from 1 species